rnacentral:rRNA from 1 species
UACCAGACUCCUACGGGAGGCAGCAGUGGGUAAUAUUGCACAAUGGGGGAAACCCUGAUGCAGCAACGCCGCGUGAGUGAAGAAGUAUCUCGGUAUGUAAAGCUCUAUCAGCAGGGAAGAAGAUGACGGUACCUGACUAAGAAGCCCCGGCUAACUACGUGCCAGCAGCCGCGGUAAUACGUAGGGGGCAAGCGUUAUCCGGAUUUACUGGGUGUAAAGGGAGCGUAGACGGUCCUGCAAGCCAGAUGUGAAAGCCCGGGGCUCAACCCCGGGACUGCAUUUGGAACUGUAAGGCUAGAGUGUCGGAGAGGCAGGCGGAAUUCCUAGUGUAGCGGUGAAAUGCGUAGAUAUUAGGAGGAACACCAGUGGCGAAGGCGGAUUGCUGGACAGUAACUGACGCUGAGGCGCGAAAGCGUGGGGAGCAAACAGGAUUAGAUACCCCCGUAC